rnacentral:misc_RNA from 1 species
GAUGAAGAACGUAGCGAAAUGCGAUAAGUAAUGUGAAUUGCAGAAUUCAGUUAAUCAUCGAAUCUUUGAACGCACCUUGCGCCUUUUGGUAUUCCGAAAGGCACACCUGUUUGAGCGUCAUGAAUACCUCAAUCUCCAUCUUUUCUUCGGAUUGAUGGGUGACUUGGAUGUUGAGCCCUGCUGGUAUGCUAUAUCAGCUGGCUUUAAACUUAUUAGCCGGCUCUGUACUGGAUCGGUUUGACUCGACGUGAUAAUAUUAUCGUUGAGGAUGCAUGUCUCAUGCAGCCGGAAAGUAUCAAAGCAGCUUCUAGCUUGCCUUUAGUGCACUUUUACAUUUUAGACCUCAGAUCAGGUGGGACUACCCGCUGAACUUAAGCAUAUCAAUAAGCGGAGGA